CGCGUCGUGGUAUUUCGCGUAUUGUAAUUUCAACACGAGCGGGGUCAAAUAAUUUGCAGACGACUUAGCUGUGCGAAACGGUCCUGUAAGCAGUAGAGUAGCCUUGUUGUUACGAUCUGCUGAGGGUAAGCCGUCCUUCGCCUCGAUUU
rnacentral:rRNA from 1 species